rnacentral:rRNA from 1 species
UACGUAGGCCGCAAGCGUUGUUCGGAGUUACUGGGCGUAAAGGGUGUGUAGGCGGUUCUUUAAGUUUGCUGUGAAAUCUCCCGGCUUAACCGGGAGGGUGCGGUGAAUACUGAGGGACUAGAGUACGGGAGAGGAAAGUGGAAUUCCUGGUGUAGCGGUGAAAUGCGUAGAUAUCAGGAGGAACACCGGUGGUGUAGACGGCUUUCUGGACCGUAACUGACGCUGAGACACGAAAGCGUGGGUAGCAAACAGG